rnacentral:rRNA from 1 species
GACGAGCGCUGGCGGCGUGCUUAACACAUGCAAGUCGAACGGAAAGGCCCUGCUUUUGUGGGGUGCUCGAGUGGCGAACGGGUGAGUAACACGUGAGUAACCUGCCCUUGACUUUGGGAUAACUUCAGGAAACUGGGGCUAAUACCGGAUAGGAGCUCCUGCUGCAUGGUGGGGGUUGGAAAGUUUCGGCGGUUGGGGAUGGACUCGCGGCUUAUCAGCUUGUUGGUGGGGUAGUGGCUUACCAAGGCUUUGACGGGUAGCCGGCCUGAGAGGGUGACCGGCCACAUUGGGACUGAGAUACGGCCCAGACUCCUACGGGAGGCAGCAGUGGGGAAUAUUGCACAAUGGGCGGAAGCCUGAUGCAGCAACGCCGCGUGCGGGAUGACGGCCUUCGGGUUGUAAACCGCUUUCGCCUGCGACGAAGCGUGAGUGACGGUAAUGGGUAAAGAAGCACCGGCUAACUACGUG